AACGAACGCUGGCGGCAGGCCUAACACAUGCAAGUCGAACGUGAAGCCACCAUCGGGUGGUGGAAAGUGGCAGACGGGUGAGUAACGCGUGGGAACGUGCCUUUCGGUUCGGGAUAACCCAGGGCAACUUGGGCUAAUACCGGAUACGCCCUUCGGGGGAAAGAUUCAUUGACGAAGGAUCGGCCCGCGGCGGCUUAGCUAGUUGGUGGGGUAAAAGCCUACCAAGGCGACGAUCCGUGGCUGGUCUGAGAGGAUGACCAGCCAAAAGGGGACUGAGACACGGACCAGACUCCUAGGGGAGGCAGCAGUGGGGAAUAUUGGACAAUGGGCGCAAGCCUGAUCCAGCCAUGCCGCGUGGGUGAAGAAGGCCCUAGGGUUGUAAACCCCUUUCAGCGGGGAAGAUAAUGACGGUACCCGCAGAAGAAGCCCCGGCUAACUCCGUGCCAGCAGCCGCCGUAACAC
rnacentral:rRNA from 1 species